UACGUAGGGGGCGAGCGUUGUCCGAAUUUACUGGCGGAAAGAGCGCGUAGGCGGGCUUUUAAGGGAGAGGGGAAAGGUUCAGGGCUCAACCCGAACAGUGCCUUUCAUACUGGGAGCCUUGAGUGUGGGAGAGGCGAGUGGAAUUUCUGGUGUAGCGAUGAAAUGCGUAGAUAUCAGAAGGAACACCCAUGGCGAAGGCAGCUCGCUGGCCUACAACUGACGCUGAGGCGCGAAAGCGUGGGUAGCAAACAGG
rnacentral:rRNA from 1 species